GUUUUUAUAGUUGAAUAACAACACUGGUUUUUCGAAUCAGAGGUCUAAAAAGUUUUAGUUGGAACU
rnacentral:tRNA from 1 species